CCUACGGGUGGCAGCAGUGAGGAAUAUUGGUCAAUGGACGAGAGUCUGAACCAGCCAAGUAGCGUGAAGGAUGACUGCCCUAUGGGUUGUAAACUUCUUUUAUAAAGGAAUAAAACGAGGCACGUGUGCCUUUUUGCAUGUACUUUAUGAAUAAGGAUCGGCUAACUCCGUGCCAGCAGCCGCGGUAAUACGGAGGAUCCGAGCGUUAUCCGGAUUUAUUGGGUUUAAAGGGAGCGUAGGUGGGUGCUUAAGUCAGUUGUGAAAGUUUGCGGCUCAACCGGAAAAGUGCAGUGGAUACUGGCGGUCUUGAGUACGCUUAGGGUAGGCGGAAUUCGUGGUGUAGCGGUGAAAUGCUUAGAUAUCACGAAGAACCCCGAUUGCGAAGGCAGCUUACUAAACUGUGACUGACAUUGAUGCUCGAAAGUGCGGGUAUCAAACAGGAUUAGAUACCCCUGUAGUC
rnacentral:rRNA from 1 species